AGUGAACGCUGGCGGUAGGCCUAACACAUGCAAGUCGAACGGCGGCACAGUAAGAGCUUGCUCUUACGGGUGGCGAGUGGCGGACGGGUGAGGAAUACAUCGGAAUCUACUUUUUCGUGGGGGAUAACGUAGGGAAACUUACGCUAAUACCGCAUACGACCUACGGGUGAAAGCAGGGGAUCUUCGGACCUUGCGCGAUUGAAUGAGCCGAUGUCGGAUUGGCUAGUUGGCGGGGUAAAGGCCCACCAAGGCGACGAUCCGUAGCUGGUCUGAGAGGAUGAUCAGCCACACUGGAACUGAGACACGGUCCAGACUCCUACGGGAGGCAGCAGUGGGGAAUAUUGGACAAUGGGCGCAAGCCUGAUCCAGCCAUACCGCGUGGGUGAAGAAGGCCUUCGGGUUGUAAAGCCCUUUUGUUGGGAAAGAAAAGCAGCAGGUUAAUACCCCGCUGUUCUGACGGUACCCAAAGAAUAAGCACCGGCUAACUUCGU
rnacentral:rRNA from 1 species